CAGAGUACCUUUAGCACUUCUGUGGCACAACUACUGCCCUGUCUUCUCAACAGUAAUGCAGACCUUUCCAUGACUACUGGUCAUUUAAGAGACUCUUACUUCCUACAUCACAGUCCUGUCCUUACACACAGGCAAUACACAAUCAGAGUCUUACAGCUAUCUCAGCAAGAAUGAUAACAGGUCCUCCUUUCGUUUUGCUCCUUUGUGAUCUGCUGAAUCACUCUAGAAUUCCUCGUUUUAUUUCAGUAAUAAACAACAAAACAAAUACAACAGCAAUGAAGAGCCUGGAGGGUGGCACCAACUAUAGAGGAUAGUGAGAACUACGCAGAUUUAUCUUCUUGGAGUUUGGAAAACAGCAGUUGACUCAGAGCAUGAUGGAGUCACCUUGCUGUCUGAGUUAACAUUAACUUUAUCAUGUUCUGAGAUGACUGUGGUAAUGAGGACUUCAUGAGGAGCUACAUGACCCUCAAGGGAAUUUUGAGUUUAAAGUUUAACCGUGUAUCUUCUCAUGUGAUGUUAGAGGUAUAAACCCUGCAGGACAGACUGGAAGCACGUCUGCUUUCCUUUCCAAGCCACAUGAUGACUUUGGUGGGUUGCUUCAAGAUGGGUAGAACAGGUGGCUUAAGAAAGAAGCUCCAGCUGGAAGCUGGGCAUGGUACCAUGGCGCAAAACCCUCUUUCUCUAUCCUUGUCCCGUUGUGAUCUCAAAGGCCCUGAAGCUGUACCUGCAGAGAGCCUGCAUGAAGCUUGCAGGUGAGAUAUCUGCCCGUGGAGCCUGUGUGCCUUCCUUCAUGUACAUCCAUUUUGCCUCUCUUGUACUGAGCUGGGAGGGAUAUGAUUAUGAGACAAGUCACAAACUAAUCAGAGCAGGUUAGGGUCACUUUACAUUCUGAUGCAGAAUUAAACCAAUGAGGAACUUGAUUGGCUCAUGCUAAAAUGAUCAUCAUGACUGUUUCUCCUUUAUUAGGCCUGAAGAGCCUAGUGAUCCCAUUUCUGAGUCAGAGCCUCAACACAGUUUUUCACACAAUUCCCAAUUAGCAGCAAAGAAAAAGAAAAGGCAGAUAAGACUUCUGAAUUACUGAGAGGGAACCUCAGUGGUUUGCACACCAGGGUAACAGCUCCUCCUGCAAGUAGAACCCUCAGUGGCAUGCUCUUCUAACUGGAAAUACCUGAUAUUUUCCUUUUUAAAAGUAUGGAUGCUAUUUUAAUUGCCAAUUACUGAUUAAUAAAAGGAAUUCAAUAAUACAUAAUGAAAAUACCUUAUAAUAUGAAUUACAUGUGGCCCAGCUUUACUGCUAAGUCAUGCCUCAGUCACUGAUUGGAAUGGUUUAUCCAAGUGCUUAUCUUUAAGCCCCCAAAUAAUCCCACUGAACUCAGCAGUGGAAGGCACCCUUCAGUAUUAUAAACCAAAUCUCCAGCCGUAGUAUUUUACAAUUUCAGUACCUGACAACCUAAGUGUUUGCCAACUGCAAUCUUUCUUUCCAUUUUGGCUGCUCUUGAGUGUAUUAUGUGACUCUAGUUUUACUCAUUAAAGACUCAGAUUGUGCUUGUUUUGUUAACAACCGUUAGGGCAGGGGUUCUGACUCUCAAUUGGUACCAUCUGGAAAUGAGAAGGAAAUUCCUUAGGAUGAACGCGAAGACGAGGAAAGUCCUUACAGUUUCUCAUGUCUGCAAAACUUGUCCCAUUUGCAAUAGCCAGAUCUGACCUAGGAGCCUGCCUGCCCUUCCAUUUCUGCUGGGAGCUGGUGGGAGUGUUUUCUUUCAAGAAAAAGAUAAUCGCCGUGUUGCCAGCAGAACUAGAAAAUAAUCAUUUUGAAGUGGAAAGUCGCACAAUUCCGGCUGCUAGCAAACCAGGCCUUUUUAUGCAAAUUGAAUAUCUUUGUUCCCAGUUUUUUCCAAUCCUGCACCACUUGUUCAGCAUUUCCUCAUUUUCUGGCACUGGUUUCCAUAGCUGCGUGCAAUCACACUCUCACACAGAUGCCAUUCUGUGUUCAAAGCACUGAAUGCUACAGGGCAUAUUAGUGUUUUUAUGCUUUAGAUCUAUCUUUAUGUAACUUCGGAGCUCAUUAAUAUAUACCAUUUUGUGUGAUUAAAAAACAACAACCUGGCACACGAAAAGCUUUGAACAGGAGAAUGGAUUGUAAGGAAAAUGGCUUUCUUUUCAUUAUGCAGAUUUUAAGCUAGACAGGAGAUGUGCCCAGAAAGUUAGUGGAGUAGGUACUGGCUACUGCAAGGGAGUGAUUCCCUGACUGCAGCCCUGCAGACUGCACGUCAGAAGAAAGAAACAGGAAAAAUCAAAUGCUAUUUAACUGCGAAGAUUUUCACAUUAUGAUUUCAAAACAGUGGAUACAAAUGAAUGGAAAAUGUCCAUGGCAUUCGUCUUAAGGCUUUUUUUGUCUUAAGGUGUGCUCUUUUGCAGUGUAGAAAGACAGAGACUGGACUGAGAUGUGCAGGUAUGGGAAUGAUGGCCUCACUUUGAAUAUUGAAUGGGCACAGAAAGGUGUAGAAGCUCUGGCUGUUGGUGAAGCACAGUUCUUCUACUUAGGUUACAGCCUGAAAUGCUGACUCUAAAACUGUUGUGCCAGGAAGUAUGCAGAUGAUGUGUGCCAGCACACAGCGCUCUAGCUGUGGAUGUGGGUUGUGAAGCAGAGUGACGUGGGUGUUUUUCUGACCAUCAGUUCUGACUUACAACUGCUUUCAGUCUAAUGACACCAGCAUGUCACCUGCUAGCCAAAGCACAGGCUGUUAUAGCACUAAAAGCUGUGAGUGUCUCUUUCAGGUCCCUCUCCUUGACAAUACUUACUGUCCUUCCAAGGCAUCCUGAUUACCUCCAAAAACACCUAAUACUGACCUAAUACUGUAGGUACAUGUGGUUUAGAUGGCAUCACUCAGCAAAGCAGCAGGACAAUCUCCCCACCCAGUUUGAGAGUCUAUAUUCAUAAGGAGCAGCUUUCCAGAAAAAAAAAAAAAAAGAUAUAUUUGGAGGUGGUUGGAAUCUAUUGAUGCAGCAUGGGCAGUGGGAAUAAUGUAAAAUCUGGUGUAUAACCCACUCAACGCUCACAAAACCCUUCUAGGAAUGGUCAACCAAAUCCAUUUUUCCUGUCAUAUCUCUGUGUUAAGGGAUACGUGACUUGAGCAGCAAUGCAGCCCUUGGGCAGCUGGAGAGGUAAGGGAGAGAGCCACACAACCCACACAAUUCUGCUUCCAAACAGCAGCUCCAAGCAUUUUCCCAGUGCUGGGAAGUUUUGUUCUUCUCCUUUUCCUCCUGUGCGUUAAAAGGAAAGUACUGAUUAUAUGGAACUAUGGCAGCAAAUUGCUACUAAUGUAUGAAAUGAAAAUCCACGCCUCACGGCACAGAGAUCUUAGACAGAUACUCUGCAAUUACUGCCUUGCUACAAUUUCUGCUGGGUGUUACUCAAACACAAUACUGAGCACAGGUAAUUUACUGCAGAGGUCAUAAAAAAUCUCAUUAAACCCACAUAAUUUAAGACCAGGUAGUUUCCCAGCUCACGUUUUGGCUUGGCACCAAGCUGUGGGACCUGGCUGGGUGGCUGCCCACAGGAAAAUUCUCCCUGGUGAGAGAAAAAGCAGUGGCAGUGAGAAGGGUGAGCUGUGUGCUAUAUAGCAGGACAUGGAGGCUGACUAGCUGCACGUUUCUCUCACUGUCUUGCAGAAGCAUGGGGAUGUAACCAGCUGCUGAGAGUGCAGAUUUGAUGUGGAGAGGCUUAAGAACUGAGCUAGUCUCUCAAGUAGCCAACAGCCUGAACCUGAUAGCCAUUUAUUUCCUGGGAAUAGCAACCUCCACCCCCCCCCCCCCAAGGAUUUGGCAUUCUCUCCCAUGUGAUAAUCUGUUGAAUACUCUACAAGAUAUGGACCAGAUUUCCUCCGCAGCGGCAUCAGGUACUGCUGCUUGGAGCAGGCAGGGCCAGUUGGCAGCAGUGCAGGCGUCUCACAAAUGUGCUGAUGUAGCACUGACACGGGAGCUGCUGCCAGGGCCCUGCCUGCACAAGGGUAGGCAGGAAUCAGAACUAUCUUUGUGCAGUGUAAUUUAGUGACAGGCCCAGCUGUCCUGACUCCUGUUUUUAGGUGGUAAAUACCCCACACAGAGGUGCCACAACUGUGCCAGUCAGGGUGAAUCAAACUCUCCAAGCAGCCACCACUGAGGCAUUUUGCCUUCUCCAGCUAAUGACCCGAGGUGUCAGCUGGUUGAUGUAAUAGGAGUAAACACAUUUCCUAUCAUCCAGGUCUUUUACAGCCAGAUGACACUCGGCAUCUGAGUGAGGUGUCAGUCCAAGAAGAAAUGCAGGCUCCCAGAUCUGCCUCCUUGAUGUUGGCCAUGGCUGGCUGGAGCCUCUGCAGGGGAUGGCAUCUGUGUUCAUCAACUCUGCUUCUUGCUGCCCAGCUCUGGGGCUGGGCCAUGCUGCCUGACUGUAGCGGGAGCUGUGGUGGAAGCAGAAGCUCUGUGGGUGAGCCAGGAGCCUGGCAGGGGUUCCUGCAUGUCUGGGAAUAAACACACCUGAGUGACUCUAGGAAAGAUGGUUCAGCCCAAGAGAGUGUAGCUACAGACACUAAAGAAGCCCAACAAAAAAAGCCCAGUAUCGGCUUACUAACUUUUCUUCCAAGACAAUGACAACACAUUUUUAAAAUGAGUUAAUUCUCUUCCUGCAGCACCCUAGCACAUCCUUUUUAUUUUUCUCUGUAAGGCCUAGCUUGCCAAUGGAAUAUUACAACUGAAAGAAAAUACUUGAUAUUGAUGGGGAAACAACACAAUGACUUCAGAUACCCAAGGAGAGAUAUUUGUAUAUACAGAGAGAAUUUAACCUCAAAGACUCAGUUCACCUAUUCAUGUGUGAUUUAUGUUGCCCCAGGCUCCUAGGCAGAGUGAACACUGACACCCUUUGAUGUUGAAAGAAGCCUAGUGACUGGCCUUUGGAGAGAUUUGUGAUGUCUCUAUCAGCCUGUCAGUGGAAAACCAGGCAGCAAAGCCAGGCCCCCUGAAGAUUUCAAGGCCUUGUAGGCAGAGGAAUUGUGUAAGCAUUUUACUUUCACCAAGUGCUUGAGAGGCUGAGCACAAACAGGCAGUCUAAUUGAGUGGCUACAGAACACUGUGCUGCAGUCUGCAUCUGCGUGGCUCUCCAUGACUGAUGCCCUUUUGGCCAGGGAAAGCGGCCAGCAAUGGGUGCAUUUAGCAAUUGCAUGUCCCUGGGUGAUGCACUGUUUUUGCAGCAUGGUGGAGACAUGAGAACCCAAGGACAAGGCUUUAAAGUGAGGAAUAAACCUUGCUUAUUUGAAAUGCAAAGCAUUUUCUUGUAGUUGCAGAUGGGCAGAUAGGCCCUGCCCCUAAUUACUGCUCAUCUCUGUGGUAUCAGAUGUCAAGGGUUUUCAGUGGGAUGAAAUAGUCCUGAAUAGGUUUGACAUCCUACAAAGAAAAGGACGAUACCAGAAGAAAAAAGAAGUGCCAGCAGUGCAAUAUGUGCUGUACAGCUCUGGCACAGGACCAGAUCAUGCACCAAGGUUAGCGAUGGGAAGCAGGUGGCAGGAGGGACCACGGGCUGAUGCUCCUUGUGAGGUGAAUUCCCAGACAAUGUGUUGAGCAACACUUUGGAAGACAGGAUUAAAAUUCAAUAUAAUGCUGAUAGAUUGGGGUAAUGACUUGAAAACAGUAACACAUGAUAUAAUAAAGACAGCUGUAGAAUGGUUUACACGGAAUUAAGGACUGCUGGCUAGGCACAGCAGGAUCUGAGGAUUACUGGGGAUUAUAAACUGAAGAUGCAUCUAAAAUAUGAUGCUAUUGCAAAAACAAACAAAGGACCAGUGCUCCAUGGUUAUAUCGAGGAUGAGAGCUCAUUUGAAUCAGAUGUGUCCAAGAUUGCAGCUCAUCAGGAAACGUACAGAAAUUGUCCAAGCAAUUGGAGACUAAGACCAAGUGGGAGCUGCUAUGUACCACUGGGCAAACACAGACUAAGAAAUUGCCUUUGAGAGAGACUGAGGCAUCUAGAGAGUGAAUUUUCUAUUGGUCUUUGAGAACUAAAAAGUGAAGCUGUUGUUAACUCAGAAACAGAUGAGGAGAUUGGGAAAGGACCCCAAUGAACAAAUGUCACUAAAUGCCAUGCCCUGAUGAUGCAUUCUGCUUUACCAGAAUUGUGCUUAGUCUGCUAACCUGUAUCUUGUUCAUUUUAUAUGUGGGGCAGUUGAAUUAAUUUUAUUUAUUAUUAUUAUUAUUAUUAUUAUUAUUAUUAUUAUUAUUUUGACAACCCAGUUCUGUUGGGCCACAAUAAAGAGGGCAGGAAUAUGGGGAUUAAUUUCUGUUUCUCUCUGUCUGCAUCUCUGAUAAGCAUUGUACCUGUAGCAUUAGCAAUGUCAUUUAUUGUCCUUUACUUGCACUUGUCCCUUUGGAAAGUCAAAUGCUGGUAUCAUCCUUCCUUUCUUUUUCCUUGUGCCCUUCAAGUGAAAGGACUGUAAAGUCAUAGGCUUAAAGGUUGUGAAUGGAACAUCUGACGCUGGAGAGCAGACAUCCACACAUUUACCUCAGUGGGAAAGUGGAGAGUAAUUGUGGGUUCUGAUUUUCCAUGGAGCCUCUGUGGGGAACUAAUAGUCUGGACUUGUCCUUUCUGAGGCCUAAUUAUGUCUCUCUGUCAAACUAUAAAAACAAGAGUCUGUAGCAUCACAAGGGAAAAUGAAAGCUAUUGGCCUGUGUUCUGCAUUUAAUAGGAUGUCAAAAUCUGAAGCACAGUCUGACUGGUUUUUGACUGGGGUUAGAAAAGAAAAUGCAACUAAUUAGGCUGUUCUGAAUAUCCCUCUUUGUCUCAGAGCUGUAGACUUGCAAACUGUAACGUACUGGGAGUCCCAAACUCUCUGAUCAGUGCUGCUGUCUGGAUGGGAGGGGUCUUCCCUGCUGAUGGGAUUCAGGCUCCACUUAAGCAACGUCACCAUUAGUGAGGACAGUUCCCUGGGAAAUGCUUUGUGCCAUCCAACUUCUGUGUGUCAAGGAGACGGAAAAACAGAGCAAAGAUUUCAGGAGUAAGGAGCUGGAGAUGGGCGCUCCAUUGGAAGCAUCACACACAGUGGAUGAAGUAGUGCUUUCAGCUUGCUUUGAAGAUUAUUUUCCAAAGUCUUUGACAGUGAAGAAAAAUUUGGAAAGCACCUCGAGUAUGAAUUGCAUGAUGCCCUAUAUAUGAACAAUUAAGGCACUAAUCACACUUUGGAGUCUGCUGUAUUACAUGUUAGUUGAUGUCCGAGUGCCCUCCUCUGUUCUUUAGGAGUUAAUUUGAGCAUUUUUUUGCUUUUUUUUUUUUGCACUGAAGACAUUUCUUGGAGAGAACUGCAGAAGUUACUAGUUCCUUUUACCUUUCCCUUGUCAGCUGCCCUCAUUCUGAACCAAUGCUACGCUCAGCUGGCUCCUCAUGUUUUACAGAUGAACUGAAAUAAAGUGGAAUUUGUCCCACUGUGAAAUAAAGGAAGAGGAAAAAAUAACUGUCUGCAAGAUUUUUCAUGCAAGUCCCACAUCCUUGGUUUUGCCCUCUUUUUGACACAGAAAUUUGAUUGUCUUCCACUUAGACAUUCUAAGGCACCUUUCUGGUUUUCAUUCUUUUUUCUGAUCUGACACUGGGUUAGUCAGGAAACUGCCAACUUUGCCUCACAGUCAAAAUUAAACACUGCAAUUCAAACUGAGAGGACAUCAAUGGGCAGGAAAAAAAUGAGGUCUCAAAAUGGUGUUUUUUGUAAAUGUCACUUCUACAAGGUCUUGCACAAGGAUUUGAGUUAGGAAAGCAGUCAAUGAGUCUGCAAGAAAAGAGAAGGUCUUUCCAGGAGUCAGCCUAAAGAGAAAAAAAAAGAGUGGAAGAGAGAGUAAAAAGAGAAUGAACAGCAUAACCAUAAGGAACUUAGGAAGCUGAGAGAAAUGAGCACCUGGAUCAUUUUGGAGACUGAGAAAAUACUGUGUGACAAGGCCUCAACACUUAUGUGGAGAUUUACAGCUGUUGUUUCCAAUAACUGCACAGUGAUUUCACCCACAAAUAAUAGUUUCUGCGGAGACAGCUAAACACUGCUGGUAAGUGUGCCUUUUCCCAGGUUGCCAAACAGACUUCCCAGCAGCAAAACAGACUCAAAGCAGUUUGGGCUCAGUGCAAGAAGCAGAAAACUGCUCACUUGGAAACCUUGUCUAGGCAGACCCUUCUUCUCUGGCACUGAACAAUAUCCACUUGGCAGAAGCAAGGAAAGCAAUGGGACCUGACCAUCACUUGAAAAACUCUUUAGCCCCUGGGUCUGUCCUGUGUUUCCAGUGCAGAACUGCUCUCCCUAGAGAUGAGGGCAGGAAAACUGUCGCCUUUCUAUGGCUUACUCAGUGUCUGAGCAGGAGCCAGUAGCUUCAUUUUGGUCUAAUCCCAAGAUAUACCCAUGAAGGUGCUCAUCUGGUGCCAAGCCUCUAGUCCAGGCAGGGACCAGUCUCACAUUGUUUUCCUUGGCCCCUGAGGACAAGCUUCCCAAAGCUUAUUGAGGAGCUACUUAGCUAAGACCUGUAUCUGUAUUUUUAGGAAAGUCUUUGAGAAUGAUCUUAACCUAAAUGCCCAUUUAAGCCUUACUGAACCGUGGUGGACGCGGAUUUACACGAGCUUAAAUAAUUUCCUGAUGCAAGCUGCAGCUCUAAGUUUUGGGUAUUGUUUCCAGUUUAGCGAUGGAAACCCUCUCUCAGCUUAAGUAAUGUGUGAGUUACACAGCACAGGGAGAAUGAAAUGAUAAAUUAUCACUUCUGAGAGAAUAGCCAGUUUGUUUGCUGUCUCCCCAUCAGAUCCUUCCUACUGCAGGUGCUCACAGUGGUUUCUCCAAUCAGCAAAAAAGCCUUCCUGAUUGCCCCGUGCAUAGCUUAGCCUGUCAGGAGCCACCAAAAUCCCAUAUCUGAGCACAAAGGCGUGGGGCAUUUCGAAGGUCUGACAGUUACUGAAAUCAGAGACUGCAGUUAACAUACAAGCCACUUACAAAUGGAGGGCGGAAUAAUAACCACACAGCUUAAAUUUAGCAUAAAAAGUUAUAAAAUAGGUAUUACGGUGGUUGGGGAGUUUGCAUUUUUUUCAUCUAUUUUCAUCCAUACAGCUUAAAGGGUUGGAGGGGAUGUGCUGUGCAAAUAAAGGAUUACUUUUACUUUUUAAUCUGUGGCAUGAAGAUGACAUAAAAUCUACCCCUGUGAGUUGCCAUGUAAAUGAAUCCAAGUCAAAUAAUACACAGGGAGCAACAAAGCAAACCAACCCAGCCUGCUCUGCAAUACGGGUGUUUAAUUUGUGCACAGAAAUCCCAGGAACUGAAAAAAACUGGGGCCAUUUCAAAAUGCACAGAGCCAUGCCACCCUCCUUCCCACAAAAGCUGAUCUUUUAAAAUAUUUUUUAAAUAUACAUAUAUUUUUUUAGGAGAGUGGGCAGGGAAGGAAGAAAGGUCAGCAAAUCCGUGUUAGAUGAUAGCACAGAUUCCUCAGCUACAAAACGCAAGGGCCGAGCAGAACAAAGAGAUUUGCAUUCUAAGUGAUGCAAAGCAGCCAGCAGCGUUUUAAUGUUGUGUUUGCUCUGUGAUGUCUUCAUCAGGCGCUCAAAGGCAGCGGCUCUGGCAGCCGUGGGUCCCUGUGAGCCUGUCAAACUCCGUUUCCAUGGUUUUCCUUCAGGCAGCACCAUCGGCAGACAGCACGGAAAUGGACCCCUGCAACCUGUUUUGAACAGUGUCUCUGAUGUAGGGCCCCAGAGCGGGCAUCAAACUAGCAACAAGCAGCAAGAAAAUAACAAUUUUGCUUUUUGCAGGUGUCAGAACGGCAAACAAAAGGCUGUUUGUAGAAGAUGCAACAUCCCCUUUUUGUCCGUGUUGGCAGUUUAAAGUCAGCCGGGCAGCCGUUAAGGAGAUUUUGGAUGGGGUGUGCUGUGAGAAGGAGCUCGUCUUGAGGAAUUCCAAUUGUUACCUCUUGCACCCUUUAGCCUCACUGAACAGGGCCUUCUCCUCACUGAGCUAAUAGCUAUUAAUGCUGUUUCAAUUAUUCCGUUUGUGUGAAUGACCAGGGCUAUUUUUUUUCAAUCAAUUCUAUAUAUAUACAUAUUUCCAGACAAAAAAGGCAUGAGUCUCAUUCCUCCUUACCUUGAAAAACACUCUUUCAUUUAAAUAAACAGUUCAGAACAUGUUAAGCAUUGGAAGCAUUAUUUCAGCACUGAUAGAGAACAGUCUGUUACCUGUACUGGCAAGAAUGGACAUUCAGUGCUCGUGAGCUGUGCAUGGUUACCUCGGAGCCUGCAGCACAUGACCUUCACACUCAGCUCCUUCCAUCACACAUCCACCUGCUGGAGGUCAGCUGUACGGAUGGCAGUCCAGGAUUCUUGGUUCCUCUGAAUCUCAAUGUUUGCAGCUCCUUUUCAGAGUUCUAUUAAGAAUACAUAACAGUGUAAUUCCAAUUCCUGAUUUCAUGGUGCCCACUACCUCAGAAACACAAUCUUGUUCUUUUUAAUGGAAAAUAUUGAAAUGCUUGUGGUUGUGUUCCAAAUAAGGGUGGAAACAAAUAACAGGGGAAAAAAAAAAAGAAGUGCUAAGGCUCAUGCAAAGCAGAGACACAUUUUUCUGUACAGCUCUCAAACCAAAGCAAUCUCGUUCAUGGUCUGACUAAAGUUAUCCAAAACACAUUCAAUAAAUGAUGUUUCUGUCCUCAGAGAACUCACUGGAUGUUUUGUCACCUCCUACAUUUUUCAAAUACAUUUAAUACUUUACUCAUAAUUAAGGAGCUGGUUAAUAUUGUAUUGUAUCUGCAUAUGGAGCAGAUUGAAGUUGCUAGGUGUGCUUAGAGAAACAAUGCUGAGGAGCAGAUAUAGGUGAUGUAACACUACAACUGAAAUCCUAACCUCAUCAUCUGUUUAAAGGAAUUCUCACAGUAUCUAAAGAGAAAAUAGGCUUGUAACUGAGAAGGCUUUCAAAGUGGUUAUCAUACAUUGAUUAUUAUUAUUUCAGAGCUCUGAUCUGCUAAAUAUGCAUUUUUUAAAUGAACACAGUUUGCAUCUACAACACCGAUUACAUGAGAACAAGUCUAGGUACAUCCAUACUGACACUACAGGCAAGGUACUAACAGAUACCAGUGUUGCUCACCUUGGCAUAUACGGUUCCCAUGUUCCAAAAAUAGCUAAAUUGUUUUCCAUCAAUAGAAACAACACAUUCAUUCCAAAUGUAUUACUGUACAGUGCUGAAUUUGCUCUGACUUACUCAAGAGCCAGCUGUACAGCAGAACGAACAUUCAAUGAAAUGAACAGUGGCUGGCAUGAAGGGAAGGGGUGAACAAGCCACAGACUCUAGCAGAGAUUUCUUUUGAUCAAAGCAACUGUUUAUGACUUUUGUUCAGUGUCUCAAGAUGAAAAAAAUAUGUCUGUGUCACAGUAUAGACAGAAGCUGGCAGCUGUAGUAUGCCUGUACUAUUUUUAAUGAAUACUGUUGUUUGCAGGGUACUAGGUGAUCAUACAAAACAUGGCUUUGUAUUGUUUCUCAGUUAGCUGUAAGUGGUGUGGGUUAAAGCAAACAAACAGGAAAAGCAGAACCUACUUCACUGAAGAAUGGUUUGGAACCACACACUUGUAUAGCAGGGCAAAGGGCACAUGUCUGGGGAAUCACUGGAGGGGACUGGGAGCAGUUGCUUUAAAACUCCAGGCUUUAAAAAUAUAUAUAUGCAUGUUUAUGGUAUUUAUGGAUGGGUACUGGGCUGGAGAGAGGAAAGGAUGCCUAAGCAGAGCUCACCUUGUAUUCUCUCCAUUGUUUAGUGAAUGCUAUUGUCAAAUCAGGAGAUCUGCAGAUGUAUUUAUUUUGGAAUAGAGUACUUUGUUCUGUUUUGGAUUAAACCUUUCCAGAGCUGCACUUGCCACUGCUGCAGGCAAGACUUGUAAGCUGCACUGAGCAGUGUGGUGAAGCAGGCUGCAGGCAUAAAAGGGGAGAAGCCACCAUUGACACCAAUAGGAAGAAACUAAAGGGAAGGCAAAAAGCAUCACUGUUCUGUAAUAAGAUAAUGCAGAGUUACCCCAACAGAUGGGCAGGGAGAACAGUGGGCUAGGGAGCAGGUAACACCCUUAAGGCCUAUCACAGGAUUACUAGUGAUUCUGUAGGGUGCAUUCCCAUUCCCACACUUUGAUUUAGCAACACAGCUCUCAUCAUUACCAUCACUCAUUUUAUGCCAUUCUUACUUUUCAGGCAACUAGAGGAAAGUUUUUUAUAGGAGAAAAACAGCCUGAAGUCUUACUCUGCCAGUAAGCAGGAAUUUAUCAUGUAAGAAGUCUUUCUAGGCUGUCACAUUUAUAUUAUUCUUCGGAGGCCUGGUUGGGAAAGGUGACAAAUAAAAUCAAAAAGGACAAAGAAGUUAGCACAGCACAGUGUGCAGGAGAUAACCUAAGCAGAGCAAGUAGACUGGAUGACACACUUGGGGUGAAACAGAGGUGGUAAAAUGUAAUUUUAUCUCAGCAUUUUCUUUGGCUGACUUCUGAGUCGCCAACAUAUUAAUGGCUCAUCCCCUAGCAACUACAGAGCUUCCAACAUGCAACUAUUCUUUGGUCAUAAAGACAAAAAAUGGUGUUCGCCAGAACAGAGCUACCCCAUUCUGGGUUGCUGACAACAGUCCCAGACUGUCCAUAUGCUCUGCUGCACUCAGAAGUGGUAAAGCAACAUUUUUGCUCCCACUAGGGCUGGUGGUAUCCCUGUGGUUGUUAUUGUUCCCAUCCAGACCCUCUACUGGUUCCCAGAGCUCGCACCCGUUCUGUUUCAGGCUGUACUGAUAGCAAUGUCACAGAUCCUGAGCGCGGAGCAGAGCGAACAGAUGUAGCUGCUGUCGCUUCCCUGCACACCGUGGCAGGGCCUGACUCACUUCAUUCCUAGAAGGGCUCCUGUGGGAUGGCUGUGGAGUGGUUUAAGUGAAAGGCAGCACGGCUGCUCCUGUGGGGCAGGUCUGGGCAGAGGUGGGCAAGUGGCCCCACAUCCUGCAAGGAAGUACAGACCUGACACCUUUGGGGCUGUGGCAUCUAAGAGUAAUCUUUUCUUCUAAUGGGGUGAUUAUAAUAGAUGAAAUGAGGAGCGAGGAGUGAAGCAGCAAAGGACUAGCAGCUCCUUGACUCCCCCAGGGGUCAGGCAGGCAGUUCUUGGUUCCUCAAGCAUGAAUUCAAGGCUCUGGAGGUUUUGGUGCAAAUUGAGUAAAAAGUUCUUAUGGUGCAAUUUAGCAUCGCUAUUUCUGCACAACUUCACAGUACUGUUCUUGAUUAGCUUAAGCCUACGAUGCCAUUUGAAGGGGUGAUCCCAUUUUAUCCCCCAUCUCUCAGACUGACACUCCCAUCUUGUUAAGCCCCAACCAAAUCUAGUCAUGGAAUGGAUUGCAUGGCUGAAUAAAUGUUGAUACAUAGGUUGAAUGGGGAAGUAAUGCUGUUGGCAACCUGGCCUCAGGUCAGCUUAAGCUGACUGUAAAAGUGCACCCUUGGCUGGCAUAAUCUAAUUCCCAAGUGUAACUCUGUGUUAAACAGCCUGAUAUGCUAAGGCUUCCAGCAGAAGUCUUUGAUAUUAUGCUGUCCUGGGGAAUCCUGAUGCAUUGGACAAACUCAGUUUGGUCAGCAGAAAAGCUAAACUAUUAUUUUCUACUUAGGUAAAAAGCAGCAGAGGGAGAAAUUCACUGUUCUGACUCCUCUCCUAGAAAGACAAUCGUGGGCAAAAUACCAGUUUCUUUCUAGUGUUAAAUCCAGUAUCUUCUAGAACUAACUCCUAUCACAACUUAUAGUGCUUUCAGGGAAGGAUACUCAGUGCUGCAUGCCUUCUUUAGGUAAGGAUUUGCAUGUUAAUCUGCACGUUCUCUGCCAAGGCACUUCAGAGACUUCAUUAUCUACGUUAUCACUGUUAUUCUCCUCCCCAGAAGCCAGUCUGACCUUAAAAAGAGAGGUAAAUAUUUUAGCUUCUUUUGCAGAACUGAAGUGAUGCUCUGCUUGUUUUUGAACUUAUUCCCACUAAAAUAACCAGCUCGAAGAGGCACUUUCAGCUUCUUGGGGUAAAAACUUCCCUUUUACUAAUAGUCACUGGCUCUGUUCUUUAAUUCACAAGAGACUCUUCCCUCCCCUGCUUGCAUGUUAGCAUCUUCAAUGGAACAGCUGUGUCAUUGCUGAAGGGUGUCAAUCUUGCCCUAACACCUUAUUGACACCUAGAGUCAGGGAGGCCCCCAUCUUUUCUGAUUUAGGCAACUUCUCUGAAGUUUCCUUCUCAUUUCCUAUCAAAAAGCUUCCCACCGUAGUCUGACCUGCAGAUGUAGCCACAGCCUGGCACCAUGCACAAUAACAGCCUGAACUGCAGCAGCAAGGUUUGAAAUGUUCUGCCUGCAUCAGUCCUAGCGAUUAUAACCUAGAGAAUAACAAUAAAAAUUCCCUAACAAUGUCAAGGGACAAUAAGCCACAGCUAAUCAAUGAGCACAAUACCUACAGCACACCAGAGCCCAGAAUAGAAACUGCUCCGGCAGGUGGGACAGCUGGCUUGAAUUUUUAUUUAGUGGUUGUGAAAGGCACCGUGGCUUUCAGUGAGACAAGAACAGCACUGACAGUGACAGAUCCCCCAUUACAUUGUGCCACUGAACAGAAUGAGCCACUUCAGCAGAUACAGUUCAUUUUUCUUAAGAGUUCUGUAAUGGGUUGGAAUUAGUGUAACAUUUCUUUUUUUUUUUUUUCUUUAUAAAUUCCCAUUACCUACCAAUGCUCUGGACUUCCCCUUCAAAGGUCACCUUGACUUUCUGGAGGCCUGGGAAGUUGCUGUGACUCUAGAAAAAUCCAGGGCAAAUUUGCAUGCUGAGCUGACUGCCUGCACAAUCUGUCUUAAAACAGCCAGCACAGCAGUGGGUGCCCUGGUCAGGAUUUCUAUCAUCCCUCACCAAUGCUGGGUGCAAGGUAAUAUUUCCCAGACACAACCUGUUGUGCAAUGGAAGGUCUAUAGGAACACCCUUCCUUUUAUUUCUUAUUCUUUUACUCUCCAACACUAAACGCGAUGUACACAUUUAUCCUGUGUUCAAACAGCUCUGUGCUGAAGUUCGGAACAAAUUUUCCUCCAAUAUCAGUGGAAAGAGAUUAAAACCACUGAGCCCACUGAAUGUUUGUGCUACUUUGUAGGGGCUGUGGAUGACCCAAGAAAUCUCAAUCAGUGGUUCCUAGCAGGAGACAGUAAGCAGUUAAUCAACACCAGUUGUUCUGGCCUGCUCCUGGAGUCUCUGUAGCAGAGUGGUGGCCACCAGAAGUUGGCUCUGAGUUGCCCACUGCUAAUAGAACCUAAAUUUCCCACAGAGCCUAAGCAUUUGUGACAGUGGGAAGCAUUUAUUAACAAACUGCUCAGCAGAUGAAGAUGGAUACAGGUUUUUUUGUUUGUUUGUUUGGACUUGGAGUAGGUCCAGAAAAAGGAGACAAAUGGAGUCAUAAAAGAAAUGUAACAUCUUAUGAAGUGAUCCACUGGUCUUACUUCUCCAGUACUUCAGAAGGCAGGUGAGUGCAGCAGGGUCUGGGUACGGACCUGAGAACCAACAUGUAGGAGCUGUUGCAGGACUUGAACUGACCAUGACAUUUUAAUUCCAGUUUAAGUGGAUUUACCCAAAUGACUAUGAUUAUUAAAUUUGUUAGAUCAGUCAAAACUGGGACGAUACUAAUAGGCAAUCUGUGCCCAGAAAUCUUUACCUAGCAGUCAGUAUACAAGACUCAAUUGUAAGUAAGUUAUAUCCUAAUUUGAAGACAGAUGUGCAGACUAUGGGUGUCAGUUAAUUUCAACUUGACUCUCAAAAAUCCUGCAUUAUUCCCCUUCAGAUCCACCUUCUGUGAGGCUGCGAUUCCAAACAUCCUGCUGCUUCUCCAAAGCCAUCAGCGGAUUUCUCCUGGGCCUGAACUGGGCCAAUGACAUUUUCAGAUAGGCUUGGCCAGAUGUAGUCGUUAAAAAAACUAGGCCAACGUAGUGUGUGCUGUUAAUGAAAGAAACACAGACCCCAGGGGAGAAUAUGAACAUCAGGUUAUUUGGCCACCAGCUGACUCCUUAUCAAUAAGUGCUGUGGCAGAAGGCAGAGCUGUAUUAUGCGUGCUGAGAGGGCACUGUUGCAAGCACAGGCACCACACUUGGGAUAAUAACCUAGUCUCAAAAUUAUGGAACCCACAUCAAAGCCAUACAUGCCUGGCACCCAAUUUUUUUCUUUUUUUUACUUAGUUCUGCUUUUGACAUCACACACAAACAACAAACCUAGCUGACUUGCACUGUGCUGAGCCCUGGGAGCUGGAGCUGCCUGGCCAGAAUGGCUGCAGGACCAGGACUUGCGUGAAAGCAGAACCUGCUGGCUGGGUGUGCUUGCCCUGAGUCACUCUGAUAUGAUCACAAGCUACAAAUGAUUAUUUUCCCCUCUCAUAAGCAGGAAGAGUGUAAAAAACUGGCUAAAUAUUUGACCUAACCUAAAAUGAAAGAAGAAUAUAUUCAGCCUAGAACUAAGUGUGCUUUGGGAGCCUGCUUUGUUCGCUCUGACCAAACUGUGUGUCCAGAACUCGGAGCCAGACAGCUAAGACCCGACUGUUAUUUAAAGGAUUGGUGGGGUCACAGCAGCCUGAGCCUCUCGGGUCUGAAUUAAUCUCCUUGGUGAAGCAGCCUGCUCACACUCAGCUGCAUGUGCUCACAGGUACAUUUGUGUAGAGCAAUGCCAUCCAGUGGUUGCUCAGCUUCAUCACAAAGCCACUGGCUCCUUCCUCAGGGACAUUCUGAGCUGAAAUGUUUCUGCUCUGUUCCCAGCCAAGGCAGUCCUCAGAUACUGAAAGACUGUGAAAGUGACUGGCUUGAUUGUUUCCAGCUUCUUUGUCCUUUUUCAUGUAAAAAUGAGGUAUGUUUUAAAUAGGAGCUACUUGAUAAUGUUGGAAGAUGUUUUGGGGAAUAAUAUUGUAUGUACGCAGUCCAAAUAUACAAAGUUAUGAUCAGGCCUGAAUUUUGGUGUAGGGAGCAACUACAUGGAGACAUGGAAAAUUACACUGAUUUCUAACAGAAAAAUGCAGUCUUUGAAAGAAACUUUUUUGCUGGCCUAAUCCCAGGAGAUCCUGAGUUUGUUCACUGGGACAUUUUUGCUUGAGGAUGAUGCCUAGAGAUAGGGAUGUACCACAGCUAAGCUGAGCCUCUCUCCAUUAGCCUAACAUUUUAAAGAGCCGUGAGCAUUAAAUUGAGGGGCAUUAAAUAUAUCUGGUUGCAUCCCCUCUCUUGCCUUCUCCCAAAGAGAGAAAUGUUAAAGCCCCACAGGGGCUAAAUUAAGAUGUCAGUAGUUUUUGCCUGUUGCACUCCCCAAGUCAGACAUAAUCGCAUGGCUCUUGACAAGGACACUUUAUCAUAUUAAAUACCAUGGUUGGAGCUGGAGCAACUGUUCAGCUUGCCGAGCAUCACCCGGCCUGCUGGACACAGCCCGUCCCCAAGGCACUCAGUAACAACUUUCCACAGGCUGCAGAGCUGCACUGCAGAGCCUGCUCUCACUGAGGGGCUGCCCUUUGCAGCCAGGCACUGUACCCCACAGGUCUGACCCUCCUUCAGGCCUCAGCCCCCUCGUGUUCCACCAGGUGCCCACGUACUGCUGCGUUUCAGAGCAGCGUCACUCCUGCUCUGUAGUACAAAUUCCAAUCAGGCGUGACAAAGCCCACUGGGUGCUGCUGACAACAGGUGUCUCAUUAAACAUCUCUCAACCUUACAGGCAUUCACAUUGACAAGAACCAAACUCACACUCAAUCACAGCUUAAUCACAGCCAAACUCUAUUAACAAGUCAUACUAAUUACCAACUUCUAACAAUUUCUCAGGUUCAGAGGCAAAAUAUCCUUUCUUUAUAGAUGAAAACAGACUCGUGAUACUCCAGCUCUGGCCAUAAUUAGGUCCUUUUAAACAAAACAAGCCAAAAAUAAAAAUCCAGACGGAUCCCUUCGUGAUAAUGGUCCUGAAAGUACAGUUGUACAAUGACAUGUUUUGUUUGUUUUAAUUUUGUAUCUGCUAUGUUGCCCACAAGGGUCCAAUUAGCUUGUUACAGAUGCUUGUACCAGUUUUAUCCACUUGUCUUUUUUUAUUUUUUUUAAGAGGGGUAACUUGUAGCACAGAUUGCUGGCCUGCAGGCAUCCAGAGAUCAACAACCAGCUUUCUGUGAUACCAAGCCCCCUGUGAAACAGGCAGUCCUUACUCGCAGCAUUCAUAAUGCAAAAGGUAAAAAUGAGGGGAGGGGAGGGAGGGGUUUGCACUGGAUUUUGGAUUUUUGUGAAAUACUCUGGUGUGUUCAAAAGUGGCCUAAAGAUGGCAAUUCUGCCAUGGCUUGGAAAUUAAAAUGCAGGCUUUAUUUUUAAUAGCAUAAAGUGCUGCCUUGCAGUAAAAUACACAGCUCUUAAGUUGUGGCUUUGAAUUGUGCGUCAGUAUUUAUUCUUGUCCCCUGUUUUAGCACACAUGUAAUUCUGCGUUAACUGGGAUGCUUUUCUCCAUUGUGUGGCUGUAUUGAGUGCCCAAGUACUCGAGAACUCACUUGUGAAUCGAUAUGCUCACAAAAGGGUACACAUAAGUAACAGGACGAGUCUGACUUGAACUGACAGUGGGGGUAUCAAAGUAAGGGCUAAUGUCUCAUCCUUAACUCAUGCUGUUGCUGGAGAGGAAAAAAAAGCAACAGAUUGAGUUGGAGGCUAACAAGAUUUCCUAACAUUUUCGGAGCAGUGUUGUUCAAGGAAGAAAGCCUCCUCCCAGUACCUGCUAUGCAAAACCCAGGAGGUAGUUGUUCAUGGGUUUAGUUCAUAUUUGCUUUUCCUCUCCUUUAUUUUAAAAGGAAGUUUUAUUUCUCAUGAAAGAUUACAAUGACAGCUGAGCAGAGAAUCACCAUCUUGAGCCUUAGUUUUGUUAUGUAGUAUUUAGUAUUAUUUUUACCUCAGGAGCAGGUAGUUUUAUUUCUUCAGUGAGGCAAUACAGGAUGAACACAUCAGGAUGCCUGAAACUCCUGGGACAGGUUUGCAUUUCCCAAAGGAGGGCUGGUGUGAUGUGUGUGGAAUCCCAAUUUGGUUCACCUUGAGGUUCAUGACCUGAUGUGGCAGUUCCAUGGAGCCACAGGCAACCACAAGGAGCUGUAGGAAGAAGCAGAAUGGCACUGGGAAAUGAACCUACCUUCACCCCCCUCAGCACAGCCCCAUGAGCACUGUCCUGCACUUGCCUGUGGUGCUAGAGCCCAGCUGUGUGACCCCAGUGUGAUGAGCAGUAACACAACAGGUAACAGUAUUGGAAGGGGAGAACUCAAAAAUUAGUACCUGGCAGGAGCUGGAUGGCUUGGUUUUAAGGUUCAGUGUUGAAGGCUUCAUCUUGUAAGGACAGAGUGUUCUCAUCGUGACACUGUCAUCCUCCUUCAUCCCAAGGCUGACUGGAUAUGAUGAAGUGCGCAGGCCCUGCAUAGAAUGAAACAUAGGAGACUGUGGAGCAAACCACUGCUUUUCCAGAUACCAUGCAUAAUACAAAGCAAAACUUUUUUUUUGUAGUUUCCAGGCUGAAGAUGGAUUGGCACAACAUUUCAUUGCUCAUCAGGUUCUGGCAUGAGCUGGCUGAGGUAUUCCAAAUGCAGUUCAGCAAGGAAACAUACCACAGAGGGGUGGGAUACAGUUGAGUAAAGCUGCUGGUGAGUAACAGGGAAAUCCUGGCGAGGGUGAAUGUGGGCACAUAUUCUACUAGAUGGCACAGAGAGUCUUAUCUUUACUGGUGCAGCAGCACUGGUACUGUGGAAGUGUCACCUCUAGUGAGGGUCAUUAAAAAUAGGAGUGGUUGCAGUGGCCAGAAUAGCAAUGGCAAGAGGCACCCGUCAUCCCAGGGUAGACGAGUUUCUGAGGCUCUCACACAGGGAGAAAUAGAAGUGUAUGGCACAAUUCUGUUUGAGUAGCAAGAGGAAAAAUGAAAGGUCUCAGUUCAAAUCCAUAGGCAGGUUAGGAGAACAGGAGAACCACGACAACAUCUGUGCAGUGCUCCGUCAGGGGAAAAUGGAGUUCUCUGCCUAGCCAUAGUCUUGUUCCUCCUCAUAGCAGGCUGCUUCAGAUCAGAGCAAAAUAGGCUUUUUUUUCCUAGGAUUUGCCAGAUUGAAUUUGGAAGAGGCCAGCAGUGUCUGAUGGAGGCUGCAAAGAUUAGUUCUGGUUCCAGCAUUUCUUCAGCCCAGACACAGCAGCAAAGUGCAACCACAGGGCUGAUGUCAUCUGUCUGCUUGGGGAGGGCUUGCAACCAGCAACAGCCCUUCCUACUUUUGAACUUUGCAGUGGAGACUUCUUUGUUCCCCAUGGAUUUAGUGUUCCUGAGGUUUAAAAAGAAUAAAUCAGAACAAUUGGAGCUUUACUAUUCUGUAGAAUGGCUGCUUCUGAUCAGAAACUGAAAUCCCACUCCGUACUCCUCCAGUGUGGAAAUCUGUCAGGUAAACAGAAAUCACCUCAUAAAAGCUCCUAAACAGCUCUGUUUUAUAUUUUAAUUGAGGAACAGAACAUUUUAAGUACUUUUAUUGGGUGGCGCCUGCUGAAUGACAGAUGUCCAUGGCGGAGUAUUGCUGAGCACACUUUCAUAAAACAGGGCAAUUCCUUGCUUGAAACAUUUACAAUUAAAGGCUUGAUUGAAUAACGAGUUCUGUGCAUGGAGCUCAUUUCUGCACUUGUUUGUGCACCUGAAUCAGGCUGGGAUUGUUCGGGAGGUUGGAUAUGAGGUGUCAGUUGCUUUGUUCAAUGACCAAAUAGUGCUCAUGGGCACAGCUGGAAAUGUGCCUUUGAUUUUUCACCGAUAGAGAUAAGGUAUGCUGUGCUGUGCUGCACUGCGAGACUUACUCACACCCUCACUUCAGCUGGGAGGCUGAAAUUACAUGUUAGGAACAAUCCCAGUUUGUAAACAGGCAGAGAUUUUAAAAUGAACAGUAAUCCUUAGUAGCUGACAAAGUCUUAAGUAAUUUCUGCUUUAUUUUUUAUUUAACUCCUGUGACCCUUAUUACUUUGAUACCCGAGAGCUCUCUUUGAUACCCAUGUCUUUGUGCAUCGAUUCUCACAAUAUCUAAAGGAAGUCAGGCCAGCAUUAGUAUUAUUUUAUCCGUCUGUAUUAUUUUAUCCAGGGAACUGAGGCUUGGGGAGAUCAGUGACUUGUCCAACGACAUUCUUCAAAAAGGGGUCCCAGUGCUCUAAACACAUGACCUAUCUUGGGACAGUAUUUAUGAUUUUGCCUUGUAGAAACACUCAAAGCAUGGAACAACCAACAGCAGAGUGGAUGACAGGGUACAAACUGCAGACUUUCAUUCUAGCAACUCAGAGACUCAAGUUAGAAAGGAUUUCAAGUUACACCAAUACUGAACUGAAAAAAAACCCAUCUCUAACCUGCUACCAACAUGAAGUUGUCAUGGCACAGAAAAUCCUAACAGUGAACGCCUAAACAUAGGAAAAAGCCCCCACACCUCUUUGAAAACUUGAAUCCACAAAGUAAAUCCUGUCUCAGCAGAAGAUGUGGGAACAGCAGAAGGCAAAAUGUGUCAUGCGAAAAUCUUACUGGAUACAACGCAGGACGAGAACGUGCAAACUGAUGCAAAAUUAAAUGCCAUCAAACAAGAUAACACAUAUACCAGCACUGAAGAAAAUGCACAGCAUGCUCACGAAAAAAUAUUAAUUCCAAGGGGGUCUGAGGACAUCUAAGCAGCCCCUGGUGACUCUAUUUUGCCAGGAAUAUGGAAAUUUCCAAAAAAGGAUGCAGGAAGAUGCUGCAGAAAUUAAAUGAGGAAUAAAUGAAGUGUAAGGACCGGUCAGUUACAGAACUAAGUGUAAGAUGUGUCAAACCCAGCCCCAGUAUGGAAAAAAACAAAGCAGGUACUGAGUGAUUAGUUUGUCUGCUACUAAAAAGUGACCCUGCUGUUCAUCUCUAGGAUACCAUCUUUCCUUCUUCAGCACGCUCUGCAGGCAGUGAUUUUCAGGAGUUGCUGGUUUGCACAUCCAAAGUAGGUGCAUCUCAGUUCAGGGCAAACAAAAUGGUAGAACAGCUUUACUUGCAAAAUCUUUGUAGAUGGGGGAAUAUUCUCUGGUUGAAAGGAAAAGGAUUGUGAUUCAGAGGCUGGUGUGAAUAUGUAAGGGGCUCAAUAUUUAAUAAAGCACACCUUCUUCGUGGCAUGAGUGACUGAGCUCAUUCAUGCUCAACAUCCUUGAAUUUUAUUGUGCUACUCCACAUUUAAGCGAUAACACAAAUCCUUCUGCAGAUCUAAGAAGGGAGGAAACUUUCACAAGUUUUUUACUGGAUACUGACAGUGAUUCUGGCAAUAGGCUCAGCUGAUCAAAAUCCUUUAUUCUGAGCUGUGGAGGAAGAUGCUCCUAAAUUCUUCUGCUUUGUCUUUGGAAGGCCAAUGGCUUGUGUAUUCCGGUGACUCCCCAGAUCUCCCAUAUAAAUCAGAGAAGACAAAUAAGUUGUAACUACUGUAGUGCCUCCAAAUUCUCACAGUCUCCAUCACAAGCUUUCUACUGAUGAAAAGUAGUGAGCCAGACAUAUUUCCACAGAAAAUCUUGGUGGGCCUGUCCAACAGCAGCCAGAAAAGCAAGAUGCCUCUUCAGAACAUGGGACAGCUGUGGUUACAGUGGGAUUACAGAGAAUGACAGACAAAGUGAAGACAAGUACAAGCAGUGCAAGAAAAAUGAGACCCAGUCCUGAGUCCAGAAACUGUUCAGUGUCCCUCUGCCUUCUGCUGGCUGCGAGAUGGUCUGGAGAUUUCUAGAAAUCUUAUUCCACGUGCCCCACUCCCAGUGUAGGAGCAAAGAGCCAUUUCCAGCUACUUAUAAACCCAGCAUAGUGGGAAAAAUAAAUCAUGUUUUGGGGCUGUUAUUCUCUAAAGAAAACAAGUGGCCUAACCCUGUACAUACAGUCACGACACAGGAGUUAGGCUGAAGCAUGUGCUGAGGGAGGAGAUGAGGAUCUGGCUUGCACAGCUGCCUUUGAGCAGGGUCAAGACAAUCUCACACAGGGCACAACUCCGUUAGUUUUGUUCUGGUCUUUCUUUCUUUUUUUUUUUCUUUUUAAGAGCAUUAGCUCUUUUCUAAAAAUGAUAUUCUGCUGUGAGUGGGAAAUGAGAACAGGCCAGUCCAAAGGGAAAGAGUGCAAUGCAUCGGCUGCAAGCCUAAAUAAAUACUGAGGUCUGAAGAUGCCUGGCUCAAUUUUGUUUUACAGAGUUUCAUUUCAUGAAUCUUUCCCUUUCAUUGUUAACCACUCACAGCUGUGAUACAAUGAAUAAUAAUAAUAAAAGAAAUGUAUUCAUUAUUCAUAAUAAAAGUUCAUAUUUCUUGUAGAAAUGAUAUAAUUGGUGAUCAGGAAGUACAACUCUCCUAAAAGUUACCAGGGCUUCUUAAGUAUAAGCACAGUCCCCACAUGCCCUGUGUUCAGGGGGACGUGUUUGUUAAGCCUUGGUGGUGGGCUGAUUUGGUGUAGCAGAAAUACUAACUCAUGGCCCGAAGCAGUGAUUGAGCACCUGGUGGGAAGGCAGGGCCAACCCAGGGAGCUCAGGUGCAUGCAAUGCAAUGCAAUGCGAUGCAAUGCAGCUGAGCGACCAGAAGGGGUGGAGCCAGGAUCCACCUCUUUCCAGACCUCUUUAAAGGUUGGCAGGAGAGACACAGGUAGCUCACUGAAGACUCCUGCCUAUGUGAGGCCUUCUGAAGAGUUAAGUUGUGGUUCCUGUCCAACACAGAAGAAGAGCUACAUUUGGUGGCUCUGCAUCUCACGUCGCCCCUGUGCAGCUGCUGGCCUGCUGUCCAGGACAAGGAACUGCCAUGUGGUACAUUCCUAACGACAGAUUUGGGAAACAGCGACAGCUGAACACCUGCAUUCUUCUCAGCCUUUGCACCUUACUGCCUCAGUUUCCCUACUGAUAAUUAAAGCACAUUUAUAUCAGGAACUGUUUUUCCAACUAGGAAAAUUAUCUCAGCAUUUAAUACUGAUUUUCUUUUACUGAAAGAUAGCUGUGAUCUUCACAUUUCAGAUUCCAUAGCAGAGAAAGUGCUGGUGGAAGAUACUGGCCUGUAACACCUACCACUGGUCCUCCAUCUGCGGGGCUGUGGGCAUUGCUAGUUCAAAUAGUUAGUUCAUCUGGAGGAAAAAUAUUUAACUUGGGGUAUAUGGGGCUUCAGAGGCAGAAGGGCACACCCUAAGAAAGUGCCCUGCUGGUCAUUUAAUCCCUGCUUUCUUCACUAUGUGGUGCGCAUUGGCUGGCUCAGGAGGUGUGCCCUGCUCCUCCAGUGCUGUGAUGUGACCAGCAACCCCCAGACAUGGGUGGCUCUGCAGCUGCAUAUCCUGCCUUCUGAACUCUGAGUCCUGGGAGGGAACUGGAAGAGCCCCCUGGUUUUAACUGCACCAGCCACCCCUACCUACCUUAAAGCCCCAAACCACGAGGGGCAGUUGGUUACACAGCAUCAUAGGGUGCAAGCUAUUAGCCCCAAGUGUUUCCAGAUUCCAUUUGGUGCACGGCACAAGCCCUUUCCCACACAAUAUCUGAACUGAAGCUCAUCAGCAGUGCCCAGGUUCAGAUCCUGACCAGCCUGCACUGCAGCCCCUCUGCUGAACUAACCUGAGAUGAAAGGCGUCAAAUGACAGGAUAGAGAGUGCUGAGAGCUGGCAGCGGAGGUUUCUUCUGCAGACAUCUUGCUGGUUGUUUUAAGGUCUUCUGCCUCUAAGUGGCACCAUGCUGAGUGAUUGAACACUUGCUAGAAUCUGUUCUACCUUUUAUUGCAAUGAUUUAUUACAGAGCUCCCAGUUUCCAAACUCUGAACUUUCACAAAUGCUGCCUGGAUGUCAGAGCCCUUUUGUCAGAAACACCAGAGCCUUCUGGAGUGAUGGUCUCGGUACUACAAAACCCCUUUGGAAAGCCACAGCUCUUGAACCAGCAUGGGGAAAGACUGAACUUUCAUUUUUAGAGAAGGCUCUCACACCCCCAGGAUCUGCAUCUGAGAGGUACUCAAAAUACAGCCAAGAGAAGCUUUCUUUGCUGUAAAUUUCCAGAGGAUUACACUGAAUCAUAGUCUUGCAUAGUCCAGUUUACAGAUUUGUAUGUACUUAAUAUAAUUAGCCUCAGAUUAUCUUUAUGUAGCUUCUGCUCAGAGAGCAGGAAGUAAUUUGGAAGGGGGACAGAGGGUGUCCCAGAAUGGAUGGGUCCAGUCUACGUCCACUACGAGACAGACAGACACACACUUGUUCUGAACAUCCUGAAACUGCUUAAGCAAAGCGCUCCCCCCAGACUAGCUAUGCAGUACUGGCAAUGUUGUGCUGCUUAAAACAGAAGGAAUUGAUUUCUCUGUGCUCACAACACAAUAGCAUUCAGAUAUUCAAGCACCUAUUAUGAAAUCUGACUUUGCUUUAGUACUUAGAAGUCCUCGCAUAUUUUGUGGCAUUUAGGGCUGUCUUACUCUGCCUGAAAAUACAGUGAGGCUUUCCUGUCCCUACAUAAUGAAACAAAAUCCACACCCCAAACUCCUACAGCUCAAAACAACCAACCAGUGCAGCUCAGGAAAACUAUGGUAAGGAAAUGUACACCAUGAGAAAAGUUUUCCUGUAUUUGAGAGAAGGUUGUCAGGAUGGUAAUAUAGUACAGUGUGUAGUGAGGACUGGGAGAUUUAUGUGCCGAUUCUGUGUAUGAUUUAUUUUGAUGAAUUGUUUUUUAUCAAUAUGUAAAAAUCCAAUAAAUAUAACUCCCUUUACAAAGGGUUGCUCCAGUCCCAGUGUUUCAGUGGACAGUUUUGGCAGAAAGUCAGGAUGUGCAUUAAAAACACACUUUUUGAGAAGUCUAAUAAAUAAAAGCUCUGAAAUAUGGUUUCCUACUGAGAAAGGCAUUUUAAAUCAUUUUGAUAAAGAAUCUAAAUUAGGCCUUAAAAGGAGGGGGAAGCUAGGUCCCUGCAACUAAUUAUUUAUAGGUAUUUUGAAUAUAAAAGUCCAGGAAAGCCUGCCUCCAUCCCCCAUUCUCUGCCACAAUAAAGGGGAAAGAAAAAGCCAUUCCCCUUCCACCUCCCACCCAAAUUAUAAGGCAGAAGUGUUAGAAAGGGGCCAAAGAAAACAAAAUUAAAAUAGGGAACAGAGAACUGACAAAAGCAAGGAACUUCAGAAGUCCUGGAAAAAAAAAAAACCUGCACACUUUCUCCCCAAAGCAGCGAUACCAGGAGGGGACAGGUCUUCACUUCUCCUCCUCAUUACUCAAGAGCAGUGGGCUGCUACUCACCCCAGUCCUCUGAAGAGGGAAUAUACUGAUAUUUGCUAAGCACCACAGGGAAUGUUUUUAGAAGUGAAUAAACAUUUGAAUAGCCCCAUUCUCUCUGAAAGUCAAAGCAAUUUAGAGAUGGCAUAGAAGUCAAAACUGCUGGGGAUGUCGGCUUCUGAAUCACUUAAGUGCUUCUGGAUAUGUUAAUCCAAAACGUAGCUGACGUUUGGCAUGUGUACAGCCACCCAUGGGCCUUGCCUUCAGGGGAGUUACAGCACAGCGACCUGCUACCCCCUGCAGCAGAACCAGUGGGGCUGAAGAUGUGCUCUGUGCUUCAGUGGGAGAGUCUGUGGCUCUGCAGCAGCAAUUGGCAGCGCCCUGGUUUGGAUCUCAAGCCAAGCCCAGAAACUCAGGUGCAGUUCACAAGGCUCAAGGCUCUGAAUGGGAAGGCUGACAAAUGAGAGAUUAAUAAAUGGAAGCACAGUGUGUGUGCUGGAGAGAUUUCUGCUAUGGUGGUUGUGCCUACCAGGCUUCCUACUGAACUUACUGCUAUUCAUCUUACAGACAUCUAGAAUUUCCCUCCCUGUUCUCAGCUUCACCUUGUACUCCCUUCUGCCUCCAGGCACGAGCUGCUCUUGUCCCUGCACAAGGGCCAUUCAUUCGCUGCUCCAUCAGGAGCGCUUCCCUCUGAGUUUGGGUUCAUCCCUCUCCUUAAAUCUGACCUUCACAUCUUCCUUCUCAUUGCAGGGCUCAGUAAGGUGCACUACAGAAAGAGCCACUGCACUUGCUGAAGCAGGAGGCUGCUAGCACUAGGGAAGGAAAACACAAACCUCAGAAAAUUAAUAGAAGCAUUUAAGAGUUGGAAUUUAACAAUGUGGGUCUGCAUCUACCUUUGGCCUGCCUCUGUACUGUAGUUUCACAGGACACAAGAGCGCCCUUUUGUUGACUGGGGCCAGUUACAAGUCUUCUAGCAUCUUCCAAAUGCAAGCAAGACAAGGCUGCCCAGACUUACAGACAGCUUGCAGCCCUGAUGUGUGCACAGCCUGAACUUGCAGACAGUGCCCUCUCAGGUCAGAAAGAGCAGAAAAGCUCAGCCACACAGCACCAGUGCAGCAUUUAGCUCCAAAGCUGACACAAAUACGUGGCCAAGUUUUCAAAAUAACUGAGCAGCUUCAGGGCUUUGUUACCUGCAAACACAUCAGUGGGAACUGCAGGACUCAGUUCUGAAAACCUGGGCUGGGAAUACUCAAAAAAAGGGCCAAGGGCUCCUCUGAAAAUAUCCUAAAUGACCAAAUGAGAAAGAGCAAUGGAUAGGAUGGCAGCACAAAACCAGAAGGUGCUAGCUGCAACUGAAGACAAGAUUUUGUCCCCAGUUCACAGCAGCUCUGAGAUUUCUCUCAACCCACCAAAAAGGGAAAAGAGAAGUUCACAGAUAGUCAAAAUGUUAAAAAAAUAAAAAAUAAUAAUAAAAAAAAGCAAGCAAGAAAGAAAAAAGCAGAAAUCUGAAUUCAAACUGAGACUUAAGUAAUAAAAAAAACCUGCCAAAAAUGUUCAUUUGUUUCAGGAAAACUUAAACACAGGCUUCUGACAUCUUCAACUUAACCAAAAAACAUCAGCCAUAAUGAUUCCUCCAUCCGAUUCAACAUUAAUAUUCAGACAAAUGUCAGAAGCUGUCAUUUCCCAAGUGAAAGCAAUCCACAUUCAUUUCCAGCUGGAACACCUAAGGCCACACUGCUUCUGAUGAACCAGCGGUAAAUUUUAAGCUGAAAUGAAAGAAAGAGGUAGAAGCUGAUGCCUGAGUGCCUUCUGAAAAACAUCAAAAUGUAUUUUCUUUUCAGUCCCUAAAAAAAGGAUCUGAUUAUUUAGGGAUCCUUUCCUCCUCGCUUCAUUAUCAUUAGCUUAGCAGCGCUGGGUUAUCUAAUUACUCAGCUAGAGCUGGAAACUGCAUUUUCAUGUAAUAAGGUGUAAGAGGACUAGGCUGUCUAGCUUAGUAGUCAGUACUUGAAGAACAGCUGUAAAGAGUAGAGUCGGGAAGGCUGCAGCACAAGAGGAAAUCCUCAGUAGAAUUCAAGUGCUUUACAUCUGUCAUAAACAUACUUCCAGAUCAAAUUAAAGGAAUUUCUUUUAACUGUAUUCACAGGCUCCAAACACUCCACACAACAAGCUGCCUGAGAUCUUAGUCAUUCUGAGAAAUGAAUCAUUCCCCUUGUCAUCUGGCUGUUCUCUGCUGACUGCUAAUUCGCUGUAUAUUGAUUUUAAGACUCUGUUAACACAUUAUAUUUUUGUGUUAAGCCAGGAAAGCUUUUCUUGCUGAAAAAUCACGUCCCAUCCUUAUUCCUCACAAUAUUCAGUUUUGUUCCUUCUCAUUUAUUUAGAAUGACUGAUCAACGCUGUUUAAUCAGCUUUUAGUGGCUCUGUGAAUUGUUCCAUGCUAUUGUAACCACCUACAUGUUUUUCUACCAGCAUUUAACAUCACAACAUGAGUUCUACGUUUUGGACUUCUGUGUUUGCCUACUGAUGCAAAAAUUUAGCAGAGCAAAUGAACGUUGAGGUAACACCCUGAGAUUUUGGAAUUACUGCUCAGAGAAAUGACUUAUCUAAAGGAAGAACUGAAAACACAGAUCAUAGGAACGACACCAGCAUUUUUCCUCACUGAUUUGAAACAGGUCAGGACUUCAAAAAAUUCCUGUAAAAACCUGUGCUGUUACAGCUGGCGAUUAAAAUGUACAAUGAAUUAGAUAAUAAGUAUUUUGUUUGCUUCUUCUGAAAUGUCAUUAGCAGUGACGUCGCUCACUGGGCUAUUACAGAACUGCUGUUGGCAAAAAUUGAAGUGUAACACAGCAAAGCUUCAUGUUUCAGAUGCUUAUAAAAUUUAAUCCCCUAAAUAACACUACUAAUUUGGGUCUACUUGUAUGGCAGAAGAUUGUACAUAAAUAUUUUUAGUAUGUACUUAGACCACAACUUUGCUUUUAUUGAACUGUUUCUAGCGGGUCUAAGAUCUUUGUCACUUCAAAAUAAAACACGUUGGUUCCAUUAAAGGUAUUUAAACAUUCAA